rnacentral:rRNA from 1 species
CAGCAGCCGCGGUAAUGCGGAGGGGGCUAGCGUUGUUCGGAAUUACUGGGCGUAAAGCGCACGUAGGCGGCUUGGUAAGUUAGAGGUGAAAGCCUGGAGCUCAACUCCAAAAUUGCCUUUAAGACUGCCGAGCUAGCAGGUGAGAGAGGUAAGUGGAAUUCCGAGUGUAGAGGUGAAAUUCGUAGAUAUUCGGAAGAACACCAGUGGCGAAGGCGGCUUACUGGCUCAUACUGGACGCUGAGGUGCGAAAGCGUGGGGAGCAAACAGGAUUAGAUACCCCAGUAGUCCCUGUCUCUUAUAC